CCCAUGUCCACACCGACAGCUGCAUUAAACUCUUUGACAAAGCAGUUAGUUACUUUGAUCAGAAUAAUCCAUUUGCCCUAUCUCAGGGACCUUUCACCUGAAGCUUUUUCUGAACAGGGGAGAGGGGCGGGUAGACCCAUUUGUUUGGAUGAGAGCUGUCCAUUUCUCCUAUCCCAGGCAAGCUUGCCCUGUCUCCUUCCUGUCAGCCUUUGUUAGCCUUGACCCUUUAAUCAUUUGGGAUGCUCCUAGAGACAUUAGGAUUUUAGUCUGUCCUUGAGAAAACACUGGACCCUUCCUGCUUCCCAUUUUCAUGAUGAAGGAGAAACUCUUCUACAGGAGCCAAUUUGAUGAGACGAAUUCCAGAAUUCGAGCAGUUAAAUGAGAAAUCACAUUUGCCACCUGGUCUGGAGUGGGGCCAGGGGAGACCGUUGGUGAAGUGACUGGCACACAAGCAAGAAGACCUGACAACCCACAUAAACACCCAGGAGUGUGAGGUGGCAUGCUUGUAGCCCAACUGCUGGGGUAAGGACAGGUAGGUCCCUGUCCCACCUAGCCUGUUCAGUGAGCUUCAGGCCAGUGAGACACUGUCUCCAGAAGGAGUGACAGUAUCAGCUGUAACCAUCCUGCAAUGGAAAUACCAUUCACCAGCCAUGACCAUGUGCUGGUUUUGAUCUCACCGUGGCCCUGGUAGAGCCAGCAGCUCCAGUGAAGGUGCCAAUUCUAUGGAAGAACUCCUUGAGUUCAUCCACUGGACAUUGGCAUGCGCUGGGGCCUCACUGUGAGUUUCACAGCUCUGUCCAGCACACAGAGUUAUCUAUGUCUUCUUUGCCCAAUUAUAGGUCCGCUAUUAGUCUAUUCCUGUAACCUGCCAUCGUGUGCUAGCCUGGCACAAAGGAGCAGAGGGUUAGUUUGUCCUGCUAAUUGACAUCUCUGCUUCUAAAUGUACACAGUUCUGUAGCUGACAAUCACUAAUAUGCUUGCCGGUUUAUCUGCACUCCCACCCUAGAGAUGUUGUGUUAUCUUCUACCCAACACACAUCCUGUUUGUCAUAUAUUCUCGGAGGAGACAGACUGUGACUUGGCAGUGUUUAUUUAUAUAGAACCUCUGGGUACUCUGAGGUGGCAUGUGUUACAAUCCACAGAUGUAAAUGGCUUCUGUUAGCUUGCUUUUUUUUUUAUUUACUCUAGUGAAUAUUUGUUUGAUUUGUCUUUAC
rnacentral:lncRNA from 1 species